UAAGGAAUAUUGGUCAAUGGACGCAAGUCUGAACCAGCCAUGCCGCGUGAAGGAUGAAGGUCCUCUGGAUUGUAAACUUCUUUUAUCUGGGACGAAAACGGGAUUUUUAUCUCAAUUGACGGUACCAGAGGAAUAAGCACCGGCUAACUCCGUGCCAGCAGCCGCGGUAAUACGGAGGGUGCGAGCGUUAUCCGGAUUUACUGGGUUUAAAGGGUGCGUAGGUGGGCUUAUAAGUCAGUGGUGAAAUCUCCGAGCUUAACUUGGAAACUGCCGUUGAUACUAUAGGUCGUGAAUUAUCUGGGGGUAAGCGGAAUAUGUCAUGUAGCGGUGAAAUGCUGAGAUAUGACAUAGAACACCAAUUGCGAAGGCAGCUUACUACAUAUAAAUUGACGCUGAGGCACGAAAGCGUGGGGAUCAAACA
rnacentral:rRNA from 1 species